rnacentral:lncRNA from 10 species
UGUUGGUCAGGGUGGUCUUGAACUCCUGACCUCGUGAUCCGCCCACCUCAGCCUCUCAAAGUGCUGGGAUUACAGGCGUGAGCCACUGUGCCUGGCUAACUACUGGGUUUUCUAUGGGGCAAGAAUAUGCUCAGCUGUGUGCAGGGAGUGAGGGUGGAGGUGAGGAGUGAAGGCCUGAGGCUCCAGGCUAAGAAGUAGCCAAGUUUCACCUGGAGAGAAGAGUAGAGGGACUUCCCAAAUUUCUUCCUGAACUCAGCUCUGAUACUCAGAAGGUCAGUCUCACAUCGAGAGAUAAGGAUGCGAAUCAGGACUUGGUAAUUGGGCUCAGUUUCCUAGUAGGGGAAGAAAGAGAUGGGGGGUAGUUAGUGAGAGUCUCACUGAGAGUAGGGGUUGAAUGGCUUGGAGGGUUAUUGUAGGAAGGGGAGGCAAGGUGGGAGUCAAGGGAUAAGAGUGUACAUUAUACAUUAUCUCGGGACAAAAGUUAUGUUUGUCCAUCCUCAAGGAAGAUGACACAGCAGGAAAGAUCAGUCUCUGUGGGGGCAGCUUGAGUAUUUAUUUCUUUCCACAUGUCUUUCCUGCCCCUACCAUUAGCUUAGAGCUGUGUACCUCCAGAAUUUGGUGGUGAGCAGCUCCAAAGAUAGGUACACCAGGAAGGCUAGAAAAGAUUUGGUGCAUAUAAAGACUGCCAGCAUGAAAACCAGGAAAACUGCUUUUAACUUUCAAGUUAGUGAAUAUCCAAGGAGGAUAUACCUGCCCUAUCCCUAAACUGAGCUGAUGAGGCUCUGAUAGGGUUCAAGGUUGUGUGACUUCUAGUUCUGAUUCCAACCCAAUAGGGCCAUCUCACAGCCCCAUCUCUGCAUAUUAGUUUCUCCGGUUGGACCCUUAGGCUGAAACAUUGCUAUCUUCCUCCUGUACAUGCAGCAGGCCUGUUUUUUGGCUAAAGAAAGUAAUGAAAGGUUCAGUUUAGAAAUAACAGGCCAGGCACAGUGGCUCAUGCCUGUAAUCCCAGCACUUUGGGAGGAUGAGGCGCGUGGAUCAUCUGAGGUAGGAGUUCGAGACCAGCCUGACCAAAAUGGUGAAACCCCGUCUCUACUAAAAAUACAAAAAUAAGCCAGGCAUGGUGGUGGGUGCCUGCAAUCCCAGCUACUUGGAA